AUUGUGGGGGAGGGGCCGGCCAGCCAGGGCAGGCAGGGGCGGCCUCUCUGACGAGAAGGAGGCCACUGGGCUGAGGCCAAUGAAUGGGAAAGAGCCAGCCAUGUGGUGAGCUGGGAGAGGGCAUCCCAGGCCGUGCGACCUGCGCUUGCAAAGGCCCUGGGGCCGGACAGUUCUUGGCAGAGUCUGAGGGCUUGAGUCUGGGGGAGCCUGGCUGCCCAGAGGUGGCAGAUGACAUGAAGAAAUAACCAUGUAAGGGCUGGCUGUGUAUGAGAGCAAGCAUUGGGAAGGAUGAAUGCCAACUAUGUUCCAGGAACUUCCACUGUUCUCACACACCCAGGUGAGUGGUGUUCAGGUGGGUGGCACCCAGGUGAGUGACAUCCCAGUUGAGUGGCACCCAGGUGAGUAGCAUCCAGGUGAGUGACACCUAGGUGAGUGACAUUCAGGUUAGUGGCGUCUGUGUGAGUGGCAUCAUCCAGGUGAGUAGCUUCCAGGUGAGUGGCACCCAGGUGAGUGGCAUUCGGGUGAGUGGCAUUAUCCAGGUGACACCUGGGUGAGUGGCAUCCAGGUGAGUGAUAUCAUCCAGGUAAGUGGCACCUAGGUGACAUCCAGGUGAGUGACGACAUCCAGGUGAGUGACAUCAUCCAGGUAAAUGGCACCCAGGUGAGUAGCAUUCAGGUGAGUGACACCCAGGCGAGUGGCAUCCACGUGACUAGCAUUGUCCAGGUGCAUAACACCCAGGUGAGUGGCACCCAGUUGAGUGGUGCCCAAGUGAGUCACAUCCAGGUAAGUGGGGUCCAGGUGGUGGCACCCAGGCGAGUGGUGCCCAGGUGAGUGACAGCCAGGUGAAUGGUGUCCAGGUGAGUGGCAUCACCCAGGUGAAUGGUGUCCAGGUGAGUGGCAUCCAGGUAAGUGGUGUCCAGGUGGUGGCACCCAGGUGAGUGGUGUCCAGGUGAGGGGCAUCACCCAGGUGAAUGGUGUCCAGGUGAGUGGCAUCCAGGUGGGUGGUACCGUCGACGUGACAAUAGCUAAAAAUUAUUGGGCUCAUUGUGGACAGGCACUGUGCCGAGCUUGACAUCACUGAACUCAGUUCAUCCUCGCCAGGAGCUUGUGGGCCGUCCCUAGAUCAGAAUCCGAGGAGAAAGGACUUCCACACGGCAGCCAGCGAGCUGGAGGGCGGCCUCCUGCCACCACCAGGCUCCCUAACCCAGUCCUGGAUAUCUGUGAAAGAAUGAGUGGAUCCCCACAGGCCAGCUAUCCCCAAACACACUCGUUUACACUGAAGCACCAGGAGAUCAGAACCUUCUGGAAUCUUAAUAUGCGAGGACUCGGUGGAGAAGGCGGCACUGAAGAAGAGUCGUCCCUAGGCCAGGCUGGAGGGAAACUCAAGACGGCGGCCUGGCCCUCCUGGGUGGCGGAAGUGGGAGCAGCAGGAGCCCUGGCGGAUCCGGGAGGCCAGAAGAGCGGAAGCUUCCUCCCCUCUCAGCAGCUACAGUGCAUUCCAGGCCCUGGUCUCUAUGCGGGAGAAGCCAGCAAAGACCCUGUCCUCAGGAAGCUUCCAUUUCAGUGCGGGAGGACCCACAAUCCAUGA
rnacentral:lncRNA from 10 species